rnacentral:ncRNA from 2 species
UUCGUAGAAAAUCUCCGAGCCAUUCUGCCUACGGAGCGAUCUAAGGCGAUUGGCCGAUAGGGUUCAGGUGGAAACGCCUCAGCCUCCCGUGCUUGGAAAGGAGAUGUUAAUUAAGAAAA